rnacentral:tRNA from 1 species
UCGGGCUGGCGAGAUUUGAACUCGCGGCCUCUUCGUCCCGAACGAAGCGCGCUACCAAGCUGCGCCACAGCCCG